GGACAGUGCUGUGAUGUACUCUGAAAACAACAUAGGUUGUUUGGGUUAAAAAAGUAUAAAUACUAAGUAUAUAUCUAACGGUCCGGAACAGACGUGGUAAAAGCAUGUUUACUCACACUUCUGUGUUACGACAUUACUUAUGGAUCCACUAUAGUCAGGCAUCAUCGUUUACUUUCAGUCUCUGAAAAGCCUGCAGCAUACUGUCUUGUUUAAAAAAUAAAUCCGUAGCAAAGUCAAGCAAGCAACCAGUGUUUCACUGACGCGAUCUGGAGCUCUUUGCUAAUUUUACCGUUUACACCGGACGCGAGCGGCGCAACGUGACUAUAGACAACAGAACCCAUUAUAAUCUGCGAUUCUGUCUACACUGGAUGCGGCACGGCACGGAUUGACACAACAAACCCCCGACAGUAAACUGAUGUCCCGCUCUAUUUCUGACAUACAAACAUUCGCGCCGCUUCUGACCUGAAAGACAAAUUGAUUCGCGACAUGACGCAACAACGCUCACGUCCAAUCUAAAUACGGUGUUAGGAUCACAAGGAAGACAAUUCAAAUAAUAUUUUUCACAACUUACAUUACACAGUGUCUUGUAAACUUGUAAACUUGUAAUGUCAUAUGUAUGGUACUGUUGGAGUAAUUCUGUGUUUGCGUCUGUCUAGUAUUUCCUCUCCUCCUCCUACAAGCGUGUAUCAGUGGGUGGGGCUAAAGAGGCAGUGAUGUAGAAGCAGGCGUUGAUCUUCUCCUGCGGAAGUGGUGCUUAGACACACUAUUACGUCAUAAAGUGGCACAUUCCAAAAUGAGUCGUUUUCUGGGUUUGGUUUCAAUAACUUUGGCUAAAAACUUUUGUUUUUAACGAGAAAGUUUCGAGUUUUGAAACUUACAGGAUGAUUUUUAUAGUACCAUUGACCUGUAAUAUGUCAAAAGAUCAAGAGAAAUUUGAUUUCUGACCUCUUUAAUGGUAAUUUAAUUAAUCUUUUAUGUGCAGUUGCUGUUUGUUAAAUCCUUAUUUUCAGUAGGCUUAUAUACUUUUUUAGUGUUUUUGGCACAUUCUUUAGACUUGUAGGUGCCCUUUAUUACAUUUUUAUUUAUUUUAUUUUUUUCUUUCAUGGUGUUUACUUUCAGUCUUUGCCCUCCUGAGUGAAAAGGAAUAUUUUAUAUAAAAUUAUGUGAACAAACGUCUUGGUUCAUAAUGUCAGUCUCAAAAAUACCAGCUCUGUACUCAUAUCUGACUGAUAUAUGCAAGACUGCAUUGUAGUGUAUGUUAAAGCUGCUUGACUUGAAAUGAAGAGGAUAAGAUGUGUUGUACAUUCUUAUUUUAUUACAUUUUUUUAAGCACUUCACAGCAAAAUUCAAUAUUGCAUAUGCUUCUCAUUUAUUGAAGGUGAUAGUGAUAUUUUGUGCUAUCAUCUUCAGAAAGACUUUACUCUCCUGGUUUUGGGUACAGAGGUACAUUUCUAACUUUUCCCCACACAUUUAUUUACAUUAUGAUUGGUUUGACAGAAUAAUGCCUUUUUGUUAAAGGCUGAUUGGUGUUUUUUCUCCACAAGCCAUGUGAAAUUGAUCAAGCUUAGCCCCAUGGCUGAUUUUAAUGAUCUACCUGAAAUGUAAAAGGUGUAUUUUUAUGAAAGAUAAGUGACAUUUCCUGUCCUCUUAUGAUAAUGAACUAAGGAAUAAAUUGGAAAAAGAAA